GAAUUUCAUGGAAAGGGACCUGGCAAAAAUAAAGUGGAGAAACGAGUGAAGAGAACUGAACAGGAAGGAUUGAUGAAACAGAUGAGCUCAACAGACACCCACUCGGAAUGCUUAGCCUCUUGCAGCAGAAGCAGAAAGAAAUGUAGUCUCCAUUCGUGGUCUUUAGUGGCGGCAAACAAACACGAGGCAACCAUCUCAAAAACCAAACUGCAAAUUCUUCAUGAAAUAUACUGGCACCAACUCUGAACUUUUGCGUGGACUUAUGUUUUUAUUGUUUCUUACUGUCUGGAAUAUCGUCUCUAUUUUUCAAUAAGACACAGCUUGCAGCUGCCGACAGUGCCUAUGUGUAUUGGAAGGAAGGCCACAGAGUUCAUUUCACAUUCAAAUGAGUACAGUGGUUCUCCUGCUUCCUUAGGUAACCUGUUGGCACCUGCAAGUUGAAAAGUACAAUUUCUAGUGAUUAGUUGCUUGCUUAUAGGACUUGAGCCAGAUGAACGGCCUCUAAGCUAAAUCAGACAUGAAGUAAUUAUAUUUGGCAUUUCCUGAUUGCAAUAGCAAUAUUGUAUUCUUCCAAGGGAAGAAAGAAGCCCUUGUUCAGGUGUAGGCCAGUAUAUGUUUUAGUCUUUGUUAAUAGAAAUUAACUUGAAAUCACAUUAUUACAGAAGUGCAUACAUUUAUGUAUUUCUUCAUGAAAUAGGAAUUAUGAUUUAAAACAUGUACACCUACUCCAUUAGGUGCAUGAAGAAUAUGUUGUUUAGUUAGAUUUGUUACUUAGCGGCCUCCAUAGUCUAGAGGUAACGUUCCCACCUCAUGACUCGAGGUACGCGGGUUCAAACCCGGCGGAGG